rnacentral:rRNA from 1 species
GUUUGAUCAUGGCUCAGAUUGAACGCUGGCGGCAGGCCUAACACAUGCGAGUCGAGCGGUAGAGAGAAGCUUGCUUCUCUUGAGAGCGGCGGACGGGUGAGUAAUGCCUAGGAAUCUGCCUGGUAGUGGGGGAUAACGUUCGGAAACGGACGCUAAUACCGCAUACGUCCUACGGGAGAAAGCAGGGGACCUUCGGGCCUUGCGCUAUCAGAUGAGCCUAGGUCGGAUUAGCUAGUUGGUGAGGCAAUGGCUCACCAAGGCGACGAUCCGUAACUGGUCUGAGAGGAUGAUCAGUCACACUGGAACUGAGACACGGUCCAGACUCCUACGGGAGGCAGCAGUGGGGAAUAUUGGACAAUGGGCGAAAGCCUGAUCCAGCCAUGCCGCGUGUGUGAAGAAGGUCUUCGGAUUGUAAAGCACUUUAAGUUGGGAGGAAGGGCAGUUACCUAAUACGUGAUUGUUUUGACGUUACCGACAGAAUAAGCACCGGCUAACUCUGUGCCAGCAGCCGCGGUAAUACAGAGGGUGCAAGCGUUAAUCGGAAUUACUGGGCGUAAAGCGCGCGUAGGUGGUUUGUUAAGUUGGAUGUGAAAUCCCCGGGCUCAACCUGGGAACUGCAUUCAAAACUGACUGACUAGAGUGUGGUAGAGGGUGGUGGAAUUUCCUGUGUAGCGGUGAAAUGCGUAGAUAUAGGAAGGAACACCAGUGGCGAAGGCGACCACCUGGACCAACACUGACACUGAGGUGCGAAAAGCGUGGGGAGCAAAACAGGAUUAGAUACCCUGGUAGUCCACGCCGUAAACGAUGUCAACUAACCGUUGGGAGCCUUGAGCUCUUAGUGGCGCAGCUAACGCAUUAAGUUGACCGCCUGGGGAGUACGGCCGCAAGGUUAAAACUUCAAUGGAUUUGACGGGGCCCCGCCACAAGCGGUGGAGCAUG